rnacentral:rRNA from 1 species
UACGUAGGGUGCAAGCGUUAAUCGGAAUUACUGGGCGUAAAGCGUGCGCAGGCGGUGAUGUAAGACAGGUGUGAAAUCCCCGGGCUUAACCUGGGAACUGCAUUUGUGACUGCAUCGCUGGAGUGCGGCAGAGGGGGAUGGAAUUCCGCGUGUAGCAGUGAAAUGCGUAGAUAUGCGGAGGAACACCGAUGGCGAAGGCAAUCCCUGGGCCUGCACUGACGCUCAUGCACGAAAGCGUGGGGAGCAAACAGG